GGUCGGAAGGAUCAUUACCGAGUUUUCGGGCUUCGGCUCGACUCUCCCACCCUUUGUGAACGUACCUCUGUUGCUUUGGCGGCUCCGGCCGCCAAAGGACCUCCAAACUCCAGUCAGUAAACGCAGACGUCUGAUAAACAAGUUAAUAAACUA
rnacentral:rRNA from 1 species